CCCCCGCCGCCCCCAACUCCUUCCCACCUCAUCUGGCACAAAUGGUUCUUUCUUCUUAGUGCAUUUCCCCUGUUACUCUUGCCCUGUACAACUCCUAACUGUCCUUGGUUUCUCAAUCUAAAUGCCAGCUUCGCAAGGAUGAUCCACCCUUACCCUCACCCUAUGUCAGGACCCCAUUCAUUUUUCAUAAUCCUCCUUACUUUCCCACCGCGCAUCCCAUGCUGCAUAACUAUAUAUUGAUUUGAUUAAUAUUAUUGACACAUAGUGAUUAUUUGAUGACUCUCUUUCCUCCUCCACCCGCCGCCCCUACACUUCACCCCACUAGAAUGGCAGGUUGGAGCAGUGUCUAAGCCACCCUCCACUCCACUUGCUUUUAGCAAUGCAUUUAACAGAGAGUAAGCGCUCAAGGAAUGCGCUUAAUUAGCUGAUAAAUGACUCAUUCAAUCCCCCAUAACAACGCUGUGGAGUAGGCAUUUCAUCAGACCUAGGGAAGCUGGGGGAGAACCGGGGUAGGCAAGUUGCCCGAGGUAUAGUGAAAGCGGAGGAAUCAGGUCCUGCCCCACGUCUGGUCUUAAAUUCUGAACCUGGUUUUUCCGCUCCUGAACUUUGACCGCUUGGUGAAAGAGCCAGGGAGGGGGCGGACUUUGAGCCACAGGAAGCUUUUCCCGGAUGACACGGGCGAUCCACAUAGGGCACUGGAAUCAAGAGUUCACCCACGGGAACUAAGGAACGCCCCCUCCGCUCUCAAAGAGUAAGGAUCACAAUCUGCUGCAUAUGCAUGAGGGGACCAUGAAACCGUGAUUCGGGACUACCCAAGACGCGCCUGAUUGAAAAUUCUUCUGGCUUGAAGACUUGAGAACCUCCAGAAUUCCUCACACAUACAUAGAAAGUUUUCAAAGGCUCAUAUAAAGCGGAUAUUGGGGGAAUAGCGGGUGAGGACGACCCAGGUUUGGGUCUUUUGAUCAGGCGUCUGCUAGAGGCAGCCCGAUCCCAGGAGGGGUCCUCGGUCUGCUCCACUAGAAGACGAAGGGGGCGUCUCCCCGGCUUCCUGCGGCGUCGGCGGCGAGCUGAGGUGGAGGCAGGCUGCGGCAGCGAAGGCGACAGUGGCGGCGGCGCCAUGGCAGGGCUCGCAGAGAGGAAUCUGGAAGUCUGGGUUUGGCUGUCUUUUUUGUUGUUCUCUUAUCUUCGAAACAUAUGCAUUCCAUCUCAAGCCUGUCACUGUGUGCUAUAUACCAAGGAUCAUGCGUUGCCUGCCUCUUUGACUUCCUGUUCUGGGAAUGCUCAGGAAUCGGGAUCCUGCCGGGGUGUAAUGAGCUGUGGCUGUCCUGCAUGAAGCUUGGGAAACUCUCCGCCCCCUCAGUCACAACCCAGAUGCUCCACGGAUAGAGAUGACACUGUCACAUAGCACCCCACACCUCUGAAAGCCACGGUACCCAAACCCGCCUGGAGCUUAACCUGACUGGUUAGGCUGAGACACUAACAUCUUCUUGGGGUAUUAGUGCCAAGGAUCGUGCCCGUUGGUGUCCUGCAAAGCCAUUCCAAUCCCCCCACAACUCAUCUGCUGUAUCCUUGGUCUCACAGGGGCAAAGCCUUGUGGUGGUGGCAGAAACAGUUUAGGAAGAAGGGAGGCCUGUGGACUAAGGGUCUUGCAGUGAAACUCUAGUGAUUUUCAACUUCUACCAUUGCUCUCUAUCAGAAUAAAAUGUUUUCAUGGUA